rnacentral:rRNA from 1 species
GACGAACGCUGGCGGCGUGCCUAAUACAUGCAAGUCGAACGCUUCUUUCCUCCCGAGUGCUUGCACUCAAUUGGAAAGAGGAGUGGCGGACGGGUGAGUAACACGUGGGUAACCUACCCAUCAGAGGGGGAUAACACUUGGAAACAGGUGCUAAUACCGCAUAACAGUUUAUGCCGCAUGGCAUAAGAGUGAAAGGCGCUUUCGGGUGUCGUUGAUGGAUGGACCCGCGGUGCAUUAGCUAGUUGGUGAGGUAACGGCUCACCAAGGCCACGAUGCAUAGCCGACCUGAGAGGGUGAUCGGCCACACUGGGACUGAGACACGGCCCAGACUCCUACGGGAGGCAGCGGUAGGGAAUCUUCGGCAAUGGACGAAAGUCUGACCGAGCAACGCCGCGUGAGUGAAGAAGGUUUUCGGAUCGUAAAACUCUGUUGUUAGAGAAGAACAAGGACGUUAGUAACUGAACGUCCCCUGACGGUAUCUAACCAGAAAGCCACGGCUAACUACGUG